rnacentral:misc_RNA from 1 species
UAACAAGGUUUCCGUAGGUGAACCUGCGGAAGGAUCAUUAUCAAAACAGCGGACUUCGGUCCUUGCUGCACCCUUGUCUUUUGCGUACCGUAUGUUUCCUCGGCGGGCUUGCCUGCCGGUUGGACAUUAUCAAACCUUUUUGUAGUUGCAAUCAGCGUCAGAAAAUAAUAAUAAUUACAACUUUCAACAACGGAUCUCUUGGUUCUGGCAUCGAUGAAGAACGCAGCGAAAUGCGAAAAGUAGUGUGAAUUGCAGAAUUCAGUGAAUCAUCGAAUCUUUGAACGCACAUUGCGCCCCUUGGUAUUCCAUGGGGCAUGCCUGUUCGAGCGUCAUUUUGUACCCUCAAGCACUGCUUGGUGUUGGGCGCUUGUCCUGCAAAGGACUCGCCUGAAAGCGAUUGGCGGCCAACGUACUGGUGGUAGAGCGCAGCACAAUUUGCGUCUUUCCCCUCUGCGUUAGCGUCCAUAAAGCCUAUUUCAACGUUUGACCUCGGAUCAGGUAGGGAUACCCGCUGAACUUAAGCAUAUCAAUAA